AUGGAGAAAGAGAUAGAGAUAGGUUCAAAUAUAUGGAUCGAUGCAAAGCUUCUGGAGUUGGUUACAGGUUUUUGGACUACUAUGCAAGGCUGUUUUGUAGCAGUUUUGGACUGGUUAUGCAGGGGCAGCAGGGCUGAUUUUAGACAGCAAGGUGCAGAAACAACAUGGUUGUUUUUGAGGUUGUUUUAUGCCGAAUUUGAGAGCAGGGCAGCAACAAUUAGUGUAGGGCUGGACAACAAGGUGUAG